rnacentral:rRNA from 1 species
UGGGGAAUAUUGGACAAUGGGGGAAACCCUGAUCCAGCCAUGCCGCGUGAGUGAUGAAGGCCUUAGGGUUGUAAAGCUCUUUUACCAGGGAUGAUAAUGACAGUACCUGGAGAAUAAGCCCCGGCUAACUCCGUGCCAGCAGCCGCGGUAAUACGGAGGGGGCUAGCGUUGUUCGGAAUCACUGGGCGUAAAGCGCGCGUAGGCGGUAUUGUAAGUUAGAGGUGAAAGCCCGGGGCUCAACUCCGGAAUUGCCUUUAAGACUGCAACACUAGAAUCCGGGAGAGGUGAGUGGAAUUCCGAGUGUAGAGGUGAAAUUCGUAGAUAUUCGGAAGAACACCAGUGGCGAAGGCGGCUCACUGGACCGGUAUUGACGCUGAGGCGCGAAAGCGUGGGGAGCAAACAGGAUUAGAUACCCGGGUAGUCC